GGAGGUCACACGUGCUGCCAGCGGUGAUCCAGGUACCUCGGAUGGCGGCCACAGGGGAAGCCGCUGCCACACAGCAAGGAAGGGGCACCAGGUCAUGGGAGACGGACAGGCCAGAGGAGCCUAAGGAGAUGAGACCUAAAUGCCACGUAGGAUCCUGGGACAGAAAAGGACGUUGGUGGGAAAACUGGUAAAAUCCAAAUAAAACCUGAAGUUUAGUUAA